rnacentral:rRNA from 1 species
UACGGAGGGGCUAGCGUUGUUCGGAAUUACUGGGCGUAAAGCGCGCGUAGGCGGACCUGCAAGUCGGGGGUGAAAGCCCGAGGCUCAACCUCGGAACUGCCUUCGAUACUGCGGGUCUCGAGUCCGGGAGAGGUGAGUGGAAUUCCUAGUGUAGAGGUGAAAUUCGUAGAUAUUAGGAAGAACACCAGUGGCGAAGGCGGCUCACUGGCCCGGUACUGACGCUGAGGCGCG